AUUGAACGCUGGCGGCAGGCCUAACACAUGCAAGUCGAACGAGGGGCAGACGGGUGAGUAAUGUCUGGGAAACUGCCUGAUGGAGGGGGAUAACUACUGGAAACGGUAGCUAAUACCGCAUACCAUCAGAUGUGCCCAGAUGGGAUUGGCUAGUUGGUGGGGGAGCGGCUCACCAAGGAGACGAUCCCUAGCUGGUCUGAGAGGAGGACCAGCGACACUGGAACUGAGACACGGUCCACACUCCUAAGUGAGGCAGCAGUGGGGAAUAUUGCACAAUGGGCGCAAGCCUGAUGCAGACAUGCCGCGUGUAUGAAGAAGGCUUUCGGGUUGUAAAGUACUUUCAGCGGGGAGGCGUUACCCGCAGAAGAAGCACCGGCUAACUCCGUGCCAGCAGCCGCGGUAAUUC
rnacentral:rRNA from 1 species